GAUGAACGCUGGCGGCGUGCUUAACACAUGCAAGUCGAACGGAAAGGCCAGUGCUUGCACUGGUACUCGAGUGGCGAACGGGUGAGUAACACGUGGGUGAUCUGCCCUGCACUUCGGGAUAAGCCUGGGAAACUGGGUCUAAUACCGGAUAGGACAAUGGUUUGGAUGCCGUUGUGGAAAGUUUUUUCGGUGUGGGAUGAGCUCGCGGCCUAUCAGCUUGUUGGUGGGGUAAUGGCCUACCAAGGCGUCGACGGGUAGCCGGCCUGAGAGGGUGUACGGCCACAUUGGGACUGAGAUACGGCCCAGACUCCUACGGGAGGCAGCAGGGGGGAAUAUUGGACAAUGGGCGCAAGCCUGAUGCAGCGACGCCGCGUGGGGGAUGACGGCCUUCGGGUUGUAAACUCCUUUCGCUAGGGAAGAAGCGUAUUUGUGACGGUACCUGGAGAAGAAGCACCGGCUAACUACGUG
rnacentral:rRNA from 1 species